AAUUCCUACGGGGGGCAGCAGUAGGGAAUCUUCCACAAUGGGCGAAAGCCUAAUGGAGCAACGCCGCGUGGGUGAAGAAGGUCUUCGGAUCGUAAAACCCUGUUGUUAGAGAAGAAAGUGCGUGAGAGUAACUGUUCACAUUUCGACGGUAUCUAACCAGAAAGCCAUGGCUAACUACGUGCCAGCAGCCGCGGUAAUACGUAGGUGGCAAGCGUUAUCCGGAUUUAUUGGGCGUACAGGGAACGCAGGCGGUCUUUUAAGUCUUAUGUGAAAGCCUUCGGCUUAACCGGAGAAGUGCAUUUGAA
rnacentral:rRNA from 1 species